rnacentral:rRNA from 1 species
CGGAUUGUAGUCUGNAACCCGACUACAUGAAGCUGGAAUCGCUAGUAAUCGCAGGUCAGCAUACUGCGGUGAAUACGUUCCCGGGUCUUGUACACACCGCCCGUCACACCAUGGGAGCCGGAAAUGCCCGAAGCCAGUGACCCAACCUUAGGGAGGGAGCUGUCGAAGGUGGAGCCGGUAACUGGGGUGAAGUCGUAACAAGGUAGC